CGUGACCAAUUACUAUCCUAGUUGAAAUACCAACAGGGGCGAAUAUACUAAGGUAAUAAACAUAUUUUCUUAAUGUUUUUAAGAAUAAUUAUGCAAACCAAAGCAAGUUAGACAUUAAAAAUAAUUUAUUUGAAAAUAUUGACCGGCCAACAUAUACGUUUUACCGUUAAAAGGAAAUCUACUUUCGUUUUUGCAAUGUAGCUUGCGUGUUGUCAUUGUUUUGUUUAUAUUUUUCUGUUUGUGAUACAAUUGAUUAAGGACAUACUUUGAAUAGUCCUCUUUUGUGUAGUUAUAUAUAUUUCACGUAGGGUCUUUUGUAGCUUACUUAAGGAUAUUGAUUUGUUCAUUGUUGCAGGUCAUAUGAUGACCCCGUCUUUUGGUAUCUGUAGGAUGAUCAUUAAUAAUAAAUUCAUCUUUUUGUUUUUAUUUUUACAUUUAUAAUUUCUUUGUUAUGAUCACUGUUUACUCAAUGUUUUAUUCAAUGAAAUUCAAGUGACAGUAUUUAGGAUUCUAAUAGAGAAACAAUUAUCCCGGAAGUGAUGGAUUUAGGUUGGAUCGUAGAGGGCGUAAAAUAAUAGUUUUUAUUUUCUAUAACAUCGUUUAACACUUUGUCACCACUACGGACAACUAUGACCCCGCCACACCUUUAUCUGCCUCUGAUAGUGUAUUAUUAUGUGUGUAUCUUUGCAAACUUGCAGAGCUAUACUGUCCCCUAGAAGAUUGUUUCUGUUUUAAUGUUGCACGGCAGAAAGUUAUUCAAGAUAAGACCAAUACUGACAUGAGUUUUCUAGUUAAUUCUACUUUCAAACAUAUGCCGAAACCUUUUAAGACCUAAGACCUAGACUUUUGAACUCAUUGGUGUGUAACUUUUAUAAAGGUAAAACAAUUAAACCUGUAUCCACCAAACUUGUUUUGAGAUGAAUUUGAAAAUUGAGCGAGCAUGGGAGAUGGAUAUAACUUGUCUUUUUUGUCAAAUUUUAAAACUAUAAUAUAUAACGACACAAGGUCUUCGCCAUUAACCUCCCAAUACGUAGUCUUGGUAAGGUCAGAGACAUAGUUUAAGGUCUCCAAAAUCUGAUCAUUUCAUCUAACAGGAACGUUAAAAGCCAAAAAAUGUAUAGGUACAGAAACGAGUUACAGAAAUAUUGUUAAAAAGGACACAAGAAAUACUAUUCAAAAAUAUGAGAUACAAAAGAGGGAGAAAAGAUACAAAAGUACAGUACAAGUGGAACAUAUCAACGAAAAAAGGAAAAUAAAAAUGUUAUCUCCUAACUUAACUUUGUGAAACAUUUGUGUAUUCACAUUGAGUAGUUGUUGAGUAAUCAAUGUUUUAAAUUUAAUUGCCAAUCAAGUCAGUCUUUUUAGCCAAAAUGUUGAGAAAAGACCCUAAUGGAUACAAGAAAUUAAUUAACCGGAAACAUUUACAUCCCAUAUCACUCUUUUCUCUUUCAAAUUAUUAGAUAGGUAUUUUUUCAACCAUUUAUAACAAAGAAGUUGAAAAAAUAUGCAUUUUAUUCUUAAAACAGAGAAAAAUUGUUGCAACAUUAACAGCAACUUUCUUAUAUUAACACCUACCAAUUUUUUUUUUUAAUUUAGAAUUAUUCAGAAGAUUGAUCCACUUAAUCACUAUUGAAAGUAUGAAAAAAAAAGUUUUUGUCCGGAACUUUAUUUUUUUUCUCACGAUGCUAGCCCCAAACUAGAUUAAAUUGAUGAAAAAUGGGAAAUUCGUCGAAAUUGGGCACUUUAAAAGGGCCGUUGCAAAAAAGGAAGUGCAAAUAUGAUUUGUUUAACCAAAACUAUUUUAAAGUCAUAUCAACCUAAAAAUCAGGAUUAGAAAAUCAAAUUUUCUAGAAAAUUUUGGCUCCUCAGAGAUGUUACCCAUUUAUGGCAUAGUUCUUGAAAACACAUAUUAUUUAAACAAAGGCUUUACACAAACAUUUUUUUUUACAUAAAUGAACAUCUUAUUAAAUUCAAGUUGAAGCAAAAUUAAAUUGGUUAAAGCCUAUGUUUAAAUCUGAAUAUAAUGAUAAGUUCUUAGCAAAUGAUAAGCUAUUUCGUCAAUUUUAACUGAUUGUAAUGUAUUCAAUGAAACAACUCUCCAUUGAAGUCACAUUUAUAAAUAAAACACUAUAGGUCAAAGUACCGUUUUUACGACAGAGCCUUGAUUCACACCGAACAGCAAGUUACAAAGCGCCCAAAAAUUACUAGUGUAAAACUAUCAAAACGGGAAAACCAAUGUUAAAAUCUAUACAACAAAUGAGAAAUGAGAAACAAUUAUGAACCACAUCAACAAACGACCAGCACUGCAUAUCAGGUUCCAGACUUAGAACAGGUUCAAACAAAUGCAACAGGUUUAAGCGAUGGAAAAUGUACUAAUCUUCACCCUUCCCUGAAACAAUAGUGUAAUAUCACAAUAUAGAAAGUCACACUAGAAAAUAUCUAUUGAAAUGGUUUCACUAAAUCAAAAGACAUAUUAACACAAGUGAGCAUACACUGAUCGAACUAUGACAAUUCAAUUAGGUCAGACAGAAUACAAACUGAUCAUAAUUAAGCCUAAUGUCUCACAAAUACCUGGUGGACAAGUAUUUUGUUGGUUUGAAUUUUAAAACAAAUUCGGAUUGAAGAAUUAAAAAGGUUGCCGUAUCAUUCCCUCUCCUUUAUCAACACAUCGACAACUAUGAAUUUUUGGAAGUUCCUAAAGGCUACAUACCACCAAAUAGUUCUUUGAUAACUAAUGUAAAGGUUUAAAAAAAGUAAUUUUGUAGACCAGGAAAGGCCUUCUGAACAAUAGCCUUAAUCAUAUUUGCAUAAAUAUUAUUUUGCAGUAUUGUGAUAUGGCCUCAUCCUCCCAAAAUUGUGGUGUGUGUGACCUCCGACACAUUAACAAACCAUCCAUAAUCUGGUGUACGGAAUGUGAUGAAGGGCUUUGUCAAGAAUGUCAGGAACACCAUAGUUUGUCCAAGGGAACCAGAAACCAUAACACCAUAAGCAAUAACAGAAUACCAAACAUUACCUAGUGAUGUACUUAAAAUCACUCAAUACUGUAGCAUCACAAAGACAAAUUUAUAAUGUAUUGCCGGAAACACGAACGUCCCUGCUGCAGGAAAUGUAUAGUCGAAACUCAUAAAGAAUGCCCAGAUAUUGACAAUUUAGAAGACGUCACUCAAAAUGUAAAAACCUCCAAUGCCGUCCACGAUAUUGAAGAAACAUUGGUUGAAAUAGCUGAAACUUUAAAGAAAAUCAGUCAACAUCAGCAGAAAAAUCUGUUGAAUUUGAAAGAAAAAAGAAAAGAAAUUCAAAAAGAAAUUCAAAAGAACCGUACAGCCAUCAACAACCAUCUGGACAAAUUACAGGAAGAUUUGAUAAAACAACUUAAUGCUAUUGACAUAAUCCAGAACACGAAAAUUGGUCAAUUGUUGUCAUCACUUGAACAGAGAGAAAAAGAAAUAACCAAAUACAAAGAAAACUUUGCUAGCAUUAAACAACACGCAUCAGAACUACAGAUUUUCUUUCACUGAAGCAAAUAGAAGAAGACAUUGAAAUCGAAGAUAAAUUCCUGCAGUCUAUAGUGAAUGGUGGGGAAUUGAAGCAACGUCAUCUAGAAUAUAGAACCAACAUUGCUAUUCAAGAUAUCUUGUCCAAUAUCAAAAGUUUUGGAGAAGUACAGAUUGAAAGUAAACCAUGUGACAUCGUUCUUAUCAGGAAGAAGACCAAACAAGCAUAGAUAAUGGUACCAACCCUUCAAACAAGAUCAUUUUGGAAUAUAAAGCUGAGGAAAAACAAGACAAUAGCAACUCACGGAACAUACAUCUUUGGAUGUUGUCUGAUACCAGAUGGUAGAAUGGCGUUUACCUACGGCAUCGAGUAUGCAGUGAUACAGGAUUAAAAGACUUUGAGGUGAAGAUGCCAUGUUUCGUACAAGAUAUACUAUAUAUAAACAAGGACAAUACAUUAGCCGUAUCAUGUGGUGGUUCCAGUUAUCACUGUAUUACCAUUAUAAACGUGGAAAGAAAACAAAUCACGAAAACAAUUUCAUUCGAUUCGGAAGUAAAUGGUAUAGCACUGAGUGAAAAUGGAAUAAUAUAUUCCGGUAAAAACAAAGGAAUCCGAAUGAUCAAUCUUUCCGACGAGUCAACAACUCAAAUAGUCAGAGAUGAAAUGCCUUCUAACUGUUACAUUGCAACAUUUCGAAACCAAAUAUAUCACACAAACUCGGUAACACAUGCCGUUACUUGUUAUGAUCAACAGGGUAAACCACAAUGGACAUUCAAAAAUUAAAGCCUUCUGAAGGGUCCUCGUGGUAUUAAUGUAGAUGUGAAUGGUAAUGUGUUCGUUGUGGGAAAUAGUUCGAACAAUGUUGUUGUUAUCUCCCCUGACGGACAACGGCAUAGAGAAGUAUUAGCAGCAGGUGAUGGCCUUGAUUGUCCUUUAUCACUUUGUUUUAAUAAUUCAAAGAAGCAGUUGCUAGUGGCUAACUUGAAUGAUGUGGCCCGACUGUAUGAUUUUAUUUGAAAAGUCUUUUUAAUUAUGUUUUAUCUUUAUUUUUAUUUUGUAUCGUCACAGCUACAAAAAUUCGAUGAAAUGAUUUGUUUGACAAUAGACAUAAAUAAUGUUAUGGAAUAUCUUGAUGUUUUAAAUAUGUUUUUAUUAAAUUUGUCAUACACAAAAUACAUCAAACAGAACGAUUUUAC
rnacentral:lncRNA from 1 species